UGCUGCAGCGACACGAGUCAGAGCACCGGGACCACGGGCUUGGAGCGCAACUUUUCGGAUUGUUUUAAGAAAAUGGCAGAGAAGCCAGACAUGGGGGAAAUCGCCAGCUUCUAUAAGGCCGAGCUGAAGAAGACGGAGACGGAGGAGAAUACCCUGCCGACCAAAGAGACCGUCGAGCAGGAGAGCAAGCGAAGUGAAAUUUCCUAAGAACCUGGAGUAUUCUCCACCCCCGUCAUCUUGGAGACCCUAGUCGUGAUGUGGAGGAAGAGCCACCUACAAGAUGGACACAAGCGACAAGCUGC